rnacentral:rRNA from 1 species
AUUGAACGCUGGCGGCAGGCCUAACACACGCAAGUCGGACGGUAGCACAGAGGAGCUUGCUCCUCGGGUGACGAGUGGCGGACGGGUGAGUAAUGUCUGGGGAUCUGCCCGAUAGAGGGGGAUAACCACUGGAAACGGUGGCUAAUACCGCAUAACGUCGCAAGACCAAAGAGGGGGACCUUCGGGCCUCUCACUAUCGGAUGAACCCAGAUGGGAUUAGCUAGUAGGCGGGGUAACGGCCCACCUAGGCGACGAUCCCUAGCUGGUCUAAGAGGAUGACCAGCCACACUGGAACUGAGACACGGUCCAGACUCCUACGGGAGGCAGCAGUGGGGAAUAUUGGACAAUGGGCGCAAGCCUGAUGCAGCCAUGCCGCGUGUAUGAAGGAGGCCUUCGGGUUGUAAAGUACUUUCAGCGGGGAGGAAGGCGAUAAGGUUAAUAACCUUGUCGAUUGACGUUACCCGCAGAAGAAGCACCAGCUAACUCCGUGCCAGCCGCCGCCGUAA